rnacentral:lncRNA from 1 species
GGCAAUGUUGCACCAUCUAAGUUGAACAACAUCCGACGGGGCUUUUGAAGCCGUCCUGUAACGGUCUCUGGGUUGUCUACUACAGUGAUAAAAUUCUCUUCUGCGGACUUGUACAAGAUAAGAUCCAACAACAUAUCAUGUACUUUGCAAGUUAACACUGACCCAUUCAUGUCAAUCUGUACAGGUUGAAUAAGACUCAUGUUGACAAGCUCAUUGAAAUAACUUAUCGCGGUCUGUUUUGGAUUUUGUCCAUGUGCUUUACUAACAAAACCUUCAGAAACCCAUAGGCUUACCAACUCGUGCCUAUAUAUUUCAGAGUCCUCCAGAAACAUACCAAGAUACAAGAAGCAUGUCUUGAGAUGGUGAGGAAGAUUUUUGUAGCUAAG